rnacentral:rRNA from 1 species
GACGAACGCUGGCGGUGUGCUUAACACAUGCAAGUCGAGCGGUAAGGCCCUUUCGGGGGUACACGAGCGGCGAACGGGUGAGUAACACGUGGGUGACCUGCCCUCAGCUCUGGGAUAAGCCUGGGAAACCGGGUCUAAUACCGGAUAUGACUCCAUGACGCAUGUUGUGGGGUGGAAAGCCUUGUGCGGCUGAGGAUGGGCCCGCGGCCUAUCAGCUUGUUGGUGGGGUGAUGGCCUACCAAGGCGACGACGGGUAGCCGGCCUGAGAGGGCGACCGGCCACACUGGGACUGAGACACGGCCCAGACUCCUACGGGAGGCAGCAGGUGGGGAAUCUUGCGCAAUGGGACGAAAGCCUGACGCAGCGACGCCGCGUGA